AACCUAUUAGCUCAAAUGGGAGAGCAUUGUGCUAAUGCGCAAAGAUAUGGGUUCGAAUUCCAUGUAGGUUA
rnacentral:tRNA from 1 species